rnacentral:rRNA from 1 species
UGGGGAAUUUUGGACAAUGGGGGAAACCCUGAUCCAGCCAUCCCGCGUGUGCGAUGAAGGCCUUCGGGUUGUAAAGCACUUUUGGCAGGAAAGAAACGUCAUGGGUUAAUACCCCGUGAAACUGACGGUACCUGCAGAAUAAGCACCGGCUAACUACGUGCCAGCAGCCGCGGUAAUACGUAGGGUGCAAGCGUUAAUCGGAAUUACUGGGCGUAAAGCGUGCGCAGGCGGUUCGGAAAGAAAGAUGUGAAAUCCCAGAGCUCAACUUUGGAACUGUGUUUUUAACUACCGGGCUAGAGUGUGUCAGAGGGAGGGGGAAUUCCGCGUGUAGCAGUGAAAUGCGUAGAUAUGCGGAGGAACACCGAUGGCGAAGGCAGACUCCUGGGAUAACCCUGACGCUCAUGCACGAAAGCGUGGGGAGCAAACAGG